UACGUAGGGCGCAAGCGUUGUCCGGAAUUAUUGGGCGUAAAGAGCUCGUAGGCGGUUUGUCGCGUCUGCUGUGAAAGCCCGGGGCUCAACCCCGGGUCUGCAGUGGGUACGGGCAGACUAGAGUGCAGUAGGGGAGACUGGAAUUCCUGGUGGUAGCGGUGAAAUGCGCAGAUAUCAGGAGGAACACCGAUGGCGAAGGCAGGUCUCUGGGCGUCGAUUGACCUGACGCUGAGGAGCGAAAAGCAUGGGGGAGCGAACAGGAUUGAGAUACCCAUGUACGUCC
rnacentral:rRNA from 1 species